rnacentral:rRNA from 1 species
ACGGGGCCCGCACAAGCGGUGGAGCAUGUGGUUUAAUUCGAUGCAACGCGAAGAACCUUUACCUGGUCUUGACAUCCACGGAAGUUUUCAGAGAUGAGAAUGUGCCUUCGGGAACCGUGAGACAGGUGCUGCAUGGCUGUCGUCAGCUCGUGUUGUGAAAUGUUGGGUUAAGUCCCGCAACGAGCGCAACCCUUAUCCUUUGUUGCCAGCGGUCCGGCCGGGAACUCAAAGGAGACUGCCAGUGAUAAACUGGAGGAAGGUGGGAUGACGUCAAGUCAUCAUGGCCCUUACGACCAGGGCUACACACGUGCUACAAUGGCGCAUACAAAGAGAAGCGACCUCGCGAGAGCAGGCGGACCUCAUAAAGUGCGUCGUAGUCCGGAUUGGAGUCUGCAACUCGACUCCAUGAAGUCGGAAUCGCUAGUAAUCGUGGAUCAGAAUGCCAUGGUGAAUACGUUCCCGGGCCUU